rnacentral:lncRNA from 15 species
GGAUCCCAACAGUGCACGGGCCAUCAUCAGGGACGUCCAGUCCUCCGUCGCCAUCUUCCAGGUGGCGCUGGCCGCGACGUUUCGUCCGCUUCUUGGGACUUCCUCAGGCUUAAGGCCACAGCAUGCAGGAUUUCAUGGACUUCGUGGAGCUCCCUCAACACGGAAUAAGGUGGCGCUGGCCGCGACGUUUCGUCCGCUUCUUGGGACUUC